GACAGAGGAUGCAAGCGUUAUCCGGAAUGAUUGGGCGUAAAGCGUCUGUAGGUGGCUUUUCGAAGUUCGCCGUCAAAUCCCAGGGCUCAACCCUGGACAGGCGGUGGAAACUACCAAGCUGGAGUGACGGUAGGGGCAGAGGGAAUUUCCGGUGGAGCGGUGAAAUGCAUUGAGGAUCGGAAAGAACACCAACGGCGAAAGCAGCUC
rnacentral:rRNA from 1 species